AUUGAACGCUGGCGGCAUGCCUUACACAUGCAAGUCGAACGGCAGCACGGGAGCAAUCCUGGUGGCGAGUGGCGAACGGGUGAGUAAUAUAUCGGAACGUGCCCAGUCGUGGGGGAUAACGUAGCGAAAGCUACGCUAAUACCGCAUACGAUCUAUGGAUGAAAGCGGGGGAUCGCAAGACCUCGCGCGAUUGGAGCGGCCGAUAUCAGAUUAGGUAGUUGGUGAGGUAAAGGCUCACCAAGCCGACGAUCUGUAGCUGGUCUGAGAGGCCGCCCAGCCACACGGGGACUGAGACACGGCCCAGACUCCUACGGGAGGCAGCAGUGGGGAAUUUUGGACAAUGGGCGCAAGCCUGAUUCAGCAAUGCCGCGUGCAGAAUGAAGGCCUUCGGGUUGUAAACUGCUUUUGUACGGAACGAAACGGUGAGCUCUAAUACAGUUUGCUAAUGACGGUACCGUAAGAAUAAGCACCGGCUAACUACGUGCCAGCAGCCGCGGUAA
rnacentral:rRNA from 1 species